UUGAAAAAUGGAUUAUACCAAGGAAAAUGGAACUCGAAAUGAUCUGCCUGAGUGGGAUCAAGAUCUGUUUUAUGUAAUGCAAGUUUUUGAGUGAUGGCUUUGUGUCCAAUACAGCGAAGCUGUAAUUCUUAAUUUGAGUGCCGUGACGACCUUGGGUGAGAUAGCGUGGAACACAAAAGCAGAGUGAUGGGACUUGGGACAAGUUUUAUGACACGGGAACACCUUGAAACGGCCAAAAUGAAACUUUUAGAUGGCAUGCCAAAACCAGAUACGGAAGCUGUCGAACCAACUGAUCUGGCUUGUCCUCAGUUGGUCACAACGACCUUGACAAGACCAUAAAACUCUUACCAUACAAGACCGUCACCAAACAACUCGAUUUGCUUUCUGUCAAAGGAAAACGUGAAAAUUGAAAACGGCCCUUGCUCACUAACUCACUCACUUGGUUCAAUCCAGUUCAAGCUCUGUGUUCGGGACUGAGGUCUACGAUCAACUAAGUGCCAGUGUUGUUCCAUUAACGAUUGUGUUCCACGAACCCAUACUAACCCGGUAACCAACCAACCAACCAGCCAACCAACGAAGCAACCAACGAAGCAAUUCUGUUCACCAACCAGCCAGCUAGCCAGCCAAGGCCAAGAAUUGGCUUCCGUGACCACUUGGGAACUUGUCAGCGCCCCUCGAACAGAUCAACACAAGAUUGAAGAGCACCCGGAAUCCCUCGUGAUAAACAGAGAGGCCUUCUUCCUACCUGAAGAGCUCCAUUUCGGCGGAUCUGUCCCGGGCGCGUCCCACCUGGAAGCUGGACGAUCCCACGAUGCUACCCCCUCCGUUGUAGCUGCUCCCUGCGCUAGACACGCUGGAUCGGGAACGACUGGUGCUUGAGGUCCGGGAUCGGCUGGAGGACCUCAUCUUGCUUUGGUUGGCCACAGUAAUCAUGGAUCGAGGUGAGGUUUGGCAGUGGUGUCGACAAUUGAAAGUGUUCUCGGAGGAACACUUGAAAGUGACUUUGGGUUGACCUGGGUAUGGAACCCU